ACACUUACCUCGCAGGGGAGAUGCGUGGCCACGACGGGUUUCCCCAGGCGAGGCUUAUCCACUGCACUCUGAUGUGCUCACCCUGGGAUUCCCUCAAACGUGGGAAACUCGACGGCAUGUUUUGUGGUGUGGAGGCCUGUGUUUGCACUUUACCCUG